CCAGCCCAGCCUCCCUGUCUGGUAGCUCCAGUCUCCUCGUCCCUCCCCCAGCCUCCCUGUCUGGUAGCUCCAGUCUCCUCGUCCCUCCCCCAGCCCAGCCUCCCUGUCUGGUAGCUCCAGUCUCCUCGUCCCUCCCCCAGCCUCCCUGUCUGGUAGCUCCAGUCUCCUCGUCCCUCCCCCAGCCCAGCCUCCCUGUCUGGUAGCUCCAGUCUCCUCGUCCCUCCCCCAGCCUCCCUGUCUGGUAGCUCCAGUCCCUCGUCCCUCCCCCAGCCUCCCUGUCUGGUAGCUCCAGUCUCCUCGUGCGGAACACAGAAAACCAAAAGGUGCUACAAAAAAAGUGCAUUUUUAUAAACUGUAAUUAUUAUUAUUAUUAUUAUUAUUUUGUACAAUACUGUUCUCUUUCUGAGUCCAAAAAACAUGCAUGUGUACCAAGACUCUUAAUAAAAUGUUUUAAUAAUGUUAUAAUAAAUAAAUGUUAGUAAUACUAUAUAGAAAAUAAAUUUGCAAUAAAUAUAGUUGUUUGUUUUAAAUGUCUGUUGAGAAACAAAUUGGUAAGUAAGUAAGUAGUCCUAUGUGGUCGUUGUUUUUGGAAUACAAUGUUAAUAUCAGCAGUUGAAUACAAAUCUUCUCUAUUUUGUAAUUAUGAAGAAUCUCCUUUUGUAAAUAUUGGCCGUUAUAAAGCACUUAAAGCAUUAUUCUCCCCCUCCAAGACUAUACUCUAAUCUACUCUACAAUGAAGGGUUAUACACAUAAUAGGCCUAUAUAUAUAUGGUUUAGUAACCCUUAGUAACCAUAUAUAUAUAUAUGGUUACUAAGGGUUACUAAACCAAAUUGAACAACAACAAUCAACUCAAAGUCUAAACAGGACUUGUUCUUUCCAACUAUUAAAUCUAGUUUUUUCUUUCUUAUUUGUGCCCGCUAAAUCAAGAAGUUGAGUAAAAAUGAUGAGUAAUGUAAAAAUGUCCACAAAGCCAAUAGGUAUUGUCCUCUCAACUAAAGCUUCUUCUGCCAGAUAGAUAUGAUCCCACAGAAUGGUAUACCUCAUUCGCUCUACGUACAUCAAGUUGAGAUUCUAUAGGAUGGAUGACAAACCUUGAUGCAUAUACAAUUAAGUUAUAUAUUUAUAGUUAUAUACAAUUAAGUUUACAUAUUUGAAUGAGGAAAAUAAAAAUUCUUAUUUGUGUAGGUUCUUCAUGUCCAAUUCCUAACCGUCUGUGAAUCAUGCCAAGUAAAUGAGCUCUUUACACAGUUCAUCUGUUUUCCUGUGACAGUACUGAGGUAAUGUUUUCCUGUAACAGUACUGAGGUAAUGUUUUCCUGUAACAGUACUGAGGUAAUGUUUUCCUGUAACAGUACUGAGGUAAUGUUUUCCUGUAACAGUACUGAGGUAAUGUUUUCCUGUAACAGUACUGAGGUAAUGUUUUCCUGUAACAGUACUGAGGUAAUGUUUUCCUGUGACAGUACUGAGGUAAUGUUUUCCUGUAACAGUACUGAGGUAAUGUUUUCCUGUAACAGUACUGAGGUAAUGUUUUCCUGUAACAGUACUGAGGUAAUGUUUUCCUGUAACAGUACUGAGGUAAUGUUUUCCUGUGCUUUUGAUGGUUGAUUCAUAUUAAAACUGGAUUCUGAACAAUG